GGGGCCUUAGCUCAGCUGGGAGACNCCUGCUUUGCACGCAGGAGGUCAGCGNUUCGAUCNCGCUAGGCUCCA
rnacentral:tRNA from 1 species